rnacentral:rRNA from 1 species
CGAGAUUCCCCCAGUAGCGGCGAGCGAACGGGGAGCAGCCCAGAGCCUGAAUCAGUGUGUGUGUUAGUGGAAGCGUCUGGAAAGGCGCGCGAUACAGGGUGACAGCCCCGUACACAAAAAUGCACAUGUUGUGAGCUCGAUGAGUAGGGCGGGACACGUGGUAUCCUGUCUGAAUAUGGGGGGACCAUCCUCCAAGGCUAAAUACUCCUGACUGACCGAUAGUGAACCAGUACCGUGAGGGAAAGGCGAAAAGAACCCCGGCGAGGGGAGUGAAAAAGAACCUGAAACCGUGUACGUACAAGCAGUGGGAGCACGCUUAGGCGUGUGACUGCGUACCUUUUGUAUAAUGGGUCAGCGACUUAUAUUCUGUAGCAAGGUUAACCGAAUAGGGGAGCCGAAGGGAAACCGAGUCUUAACUGGGCGUUAAGUUGCAGGGUAUAGACCCG